CCUACGGGUGGCUGCAGUGAGGAAUAUUGGUCAAUGGGCGGAAGCCUGAACCAGCCAAGUAGCGUGCAGGAUGACGGCCCUACGGGUUGUAAACUGCUUCUAUACGGGAAUAACGCGCCUUAUGUGUAGGGUUUUGUAUGUACCGUAUGAAUAAGGACCGGCUAAUUCCGUGCCAGCAGCCGCGGUAAUACGGAGGGUCCGGGGGUUACCCGGAUUUAUUGGGCUUAACGGGAGCGUAGGCCGCAUGUCAAGCGUGCUGUGAAAUGUCCGGGCGCAACCCGGGCCUUGCAGCGCGGACUGGCUAGCUUGAGUCCGCGGAAGGCAGGCAGAAUUCGUCGUGUAGCGGUGAAAUGCUUAGAUAUGUCGAAGAACCCCGGUUGCGAAGGCAGCUUGCUGCAGCGGAACUGACGCUGAUGCUCGAAAGCGCGGGUAUCGAACAGGAUUAGAUACCCCUGUAGUC
rnacentral:rRNA from 1 species